rnacentral:rRNA from 1 species
CAUGCCGCGUGAGUGAGAAGGUUUUCGAAUUGUAAAGCUCUUUCGGGUGUGAAGAUGAUGACGGUAACACCAGAAGAAGCCCCGGCAAACUUCGUGCCAGCAGCCGCGGUAAUACGAAGGGGGCGAGCGUUGUUCGGAAUUACUGGGCGUAAAGGGUGUGUAGGCGGUUAAGUAAGAUAGUGGUGAAAUGCCGGGGCUCAACCUCGGAAUUGCCAUUAUGACUAUUUAGCUAGAAUGAUGCAGAGGAUAGCGGAAUACCCAGUGUAGAGGUGAAAUUCGUAGAUAUUGGGUAGAACACCAGAGGCGAAGGCGGCUAUCUGGGCAUUGAUUGACGCUGAGGCACGAAAGCAUGGGGAUCAAACAGGAUUAGAUACCCUGGUAGUCCAUGCUGUAAACGAUGAAUGCUAGUUGUUGGAGGAAUUCAGUGACGCAGUUAACACAAUAAGCAUUCCGCCUGGGGAGUACGGUCGCAAGAUUAAAACUCAAAGGAAUUGACGGGGACCCGCACAAGCGGUGGAGCAUGUGGUUUAAUUCGAUGCAACGCGAAGAACCUUACCAACUCUUGACAUCCUCAUUAGGGAGGGGAGAGAUUCCCUCUUUCAGUUAGGCUGGGUGAGUGACAGAUGCUGCAUGGCUGUCGUCAGCUCGUGUCGUGAGAUGUUGGGUUAAGUCCCGCAACGAGCGCAACCCCUGCUAUCAGUUGCCAUCAGGUAGAGCUGGGCACUCUGAUAGGACUGCCGGUGACAAGCCGGAGGAAGGUGGGGAUGACGUCAAGUCAUCAUGGCUCUUACGAGUUGGGCUACACACGUGCUACAAUGGCAGCUACAGAGAGGAGCGAAGCUGUGAAGCGGAGCCAAUCUUAAAAAGCUGUCUCAGUUCGGAUUGUUCUCUGCAACUCGAGAACAUGAAGUUGGAAUCGCUAGUAAUCG